CAUAUUCACUGUCCAAUCUUUUCUUUACAGGAUUGUGGUCUAGUAUUAUCAUCAGAAGCAGAGGGUCGUGGAUGUUAUCCGCUAGAUGACCAUGUGUUAUGCAAGAGUUGUAAUGCAAAAAGAGUUCAAGCACUCACCUCACAUAUGACAACUGAACUUUAGGUGAAGUCUUCUUGAGUAGUCAGCCUUGUCAGUAGACAGCAAUUACUGGUGUCUUGGAGACUGUCCGUGGCUCCAUCAUCAGUAUGUAUGUAUACAAAAAAGCAGCUGCAUCACUCUUCUAAUCCAUUCAUGAUGAUGGAGACAAAGAUGAUCUGUGAACUGCUGGAAAUUCACUCCAUACUGAAGAUAACUGAUUGUCCCAAAGGACUACAUCAUCUGUUGAAUGUGUAAUGGGGUUCAAAUAGUCUCAUUAUUUUGCCCAUGCAAGUUGUGUUUCUAGGAGAAACAUUUUUUGAACAUUAGUAGUUCUGUAGAAAGAAAUAGCGCUAAAUGAGGAUGUGAAAGAUGUUAAUCUUCCAUUGGAUCCUAAACUUGUGCUUAAUAUUAACUGGCAUUUUGUUAUAGUCAUUACCCAAGGGACUGCCUUGCUGCUUUUAAGCAAUUGCGUUUUAGACAAGAGAAUGCUCCAUUUUGCAGUUUCCAUUGCUCACACAAAGAGAAGGUUUGAUUUGCAUCUUGAACAUUAGUAGUAGGUUUUAUUCAGUUCCAGUACUUUAAUUUCUCCUGAGAACCAUGAGCCCCCAGGGGACUGUGAAUGUUGUGUUGUAGGUGGGAGGGAGGUCAUAAAUUGCUAAAUAAAUUUGGAACAUACAGUUUAAUAGGAAAAGUACUUCAUACAUACAAUUAAAGUCCACUGAUAGUUAUUUUUGAAAUUGUUAAAUCACGCUUCAAGUCAUUUUUGGAUUGGGUGUUUGACUUUAUUUACAUCAUUUAUUUACCUAAUUAUAGAGUAGCAUGGUUCCAUUUUCUUGUUUUCUUUCAAUUAUAGUAUUUACUUACACAAAUUUUGCAUACUUAGAAGGUGGUACAUGAUUACUUAUUUAUUUAGCAAUGCUACAUCAGCUGUUAAGGUUAUGAAUAAGAUAAGGAUAGAAAAUUAUGAUGAAUCAGGUGGUGUCUUACAUUUCAGGUUAUUAUGGUGAUUUUUAUGAAGAUGGUUCUGAGAUGUUGCACUGUGUAGUCUGGUAGAAGUUGACUGAUGUUUUGGAGAUGCUUACUGCCACCAUAAUCAGGGUGAUGAUGGAGGCAGUAAGCACGUCUGAAAUGUAAGCCAGUUUCUAACAAUACAUGGUGCAACAUCCCAGAAGACAGUCAUCUUCAGGAGGUAUGUUGGGGCUCCACUUCUGAUUCCAAUUCUACCACCAUUUUGGGUGUCUACCUUAAUUUGUUUCCCAUGGCCAAGCCAUUUACCAGUAUAAAUAUGCAAGUCCUCAAUAAUUUAUCAAUUUUUACUGUAUUCCUCAGUAUUCUUUAAGUACUUGGUUCAAACCUUAGUUGUCAUACUAGCUAUUUGAAAAAAAUUGGUAUUUUUUUCAGUCUUUCAGUUUAAACUAAGGGAUAAUACCAUGAAUAAGGCCAUGGUUACUGCUGCCCAUAUCUUUUACAUUUGACUACACAUAAUUAUUAUCUUGCCUUAUCUGAUACUGUAUAGCCUCUCUGCAGUCGAUACAGCAUCAUUAAGUAACCUAUGAACUAACCAACAUAAUUUAUAUUCAAUGUUUGUGCUGAGUUAUCCAGUUAUUAAAAUCUCCAUAGCAGCAGCUAGCAGACACAUAAAUUAUGCAAGAAAUAUGGUGCAAUUAACUGUUGUGAGAUAUGAGUAUGUAAUUUCUACCUGGGGUCAUUAAGAGAUUUGUAUAAAAAGUUAAUAGUCUUAUUAUUAUGUUAUAAUUUUAUUUACAAAUCUGAUAAUAUAUUCAAUUACUUGUUUAUAGUUAUAAUAAGUCUAUAUAUUGUAGAAAACUUGACUGCUUCUGUACUAUUAGGAAUAAACAUGUGAUAUACAUAUGACACGUGAUGAUAGAGUGAAUGAAGGUCAUGGUUGGAUGUAAUGUAUGUGUUUGGUGGUUUACUUGUAUUGAUUUAAGUAACAAAUACGGAACAAUAAGUCAUGUUACUUAAUUUCAUUGCUUGUCAUUUUUAUGAGAAAUUUGUUUUAUAAAUGGUGAUUUGUAGUCAGUUUUAUGUGCUCAAUGUUACAGUUUUUAAGAUGAAGAGGCUUGUCUUUAAGUUAGGAUUCUGUAGUUACAUGACAUGAAGCAGCUGAAGGCCUAUAACCAGCAUUUGUUCCCACUCUGAGUUACAAUCCAGACAAUAGUUGUUGGGGUUCACAGUAGGAAUUAGCACUCCAUUUUUGUAUUCCCAGCCUAGUUUUUUUUAUUGUUUUCAGUUCCUUCAGGUACCUGCUGUUAUUGUUCCUAAACUGUCUCCCAGCCUUAUUCAGACUUCCCACACGAUUUCACAAAAUAAUAGUCAUUUUUAUGUAUUUCAUAUUAACCCAUUGGCAGACAGGUUCCCCUCCUUUUUGGAUAACAUAAACUACUUUGACAGCUGUGAAAUGACAGAGGAUGAAAGUUAUAGCAGCUUAUUUAUUAGGCAGCAAAUGCAUACCUAUAUGGAAAUUUUGUGAUCAUUUUAAAGCAUAAUUUUAAAAUUUGUAAAUUAUCUUUAUAGAUAUUUUGAGAUCAGUUCAUAUAGCUAAGAGUCAUUAAAUAUAAAUUUGAAAUUAGA